UCUUCCCAUUGCACUCCACUUCCCAAUUCUCAUUACUGGCAAUAUGAUUAACGGUCCUGCUUUAAUAAUGUCCAGAAAGAGGGCCACUCUUCUCACCAUCAAAUCCAUUGCAGCUUUCUCUCAGGUAAACCCUUCUCUUUUUUUCCAUCAUCCCAAAGCCCUGAGUUCUUCAAAGAACUCUUUGGAUUCUAUCAAAACCCUAGCUUUUGUCAAACACAUCGGUACUGCUGCUGAAAGAACAGAUUUCCAAACAGAUCCUCAUAUUACAAAAGAUAACCAUAGGUUUGAAUUCCAACAUAACUCAAAUGGGUUUCAAGUAGAAAAUCCUGUAGAUUCUCAGCAAAGCCCAAAUGGAGUUUACGGAGAGAGCCCUAGAAAUGGGUUUUACAGAGAAAACCCUAGGCAGAAAGAUUUUCAGCAGAGUACAAUUGGGUUUUACAGAGAAAACCCUAGACAACAAGAAUUUCAGCAGAAUCCAAAUGGCUAUUAUGGAGAAAACCGUGCAGACCCCUGGCAAAACUCAAAUGGGUAUUAUGGAGAAACCACCAGGGAUUUUCAUCAAAACCCAAAUGGUUAUUACAGAGAAAACCCUAGAGAAAAUUUCCAGCAGAACACCCCGCAUGGGUUUUACCGGGAAAAUCCAUCAGAAGUUCAGCAGAAUUCAAAUGGGUUUUAUGAGCAGAAGCCUGCAGAGUUUCAGCAGAACCCAAAAGGGAAUUGGAGAGAGGACUUUCAGCAAAACCCAAAUGGAUUUCGGGGAGAAACGGGUGAGUCUCCUUUGGCGUGUGAUGGCAGACCUAGUGAAAAAGCUGUUGAAACAGAUGGAAGUGAAGGGUAUAAAGGCACUGUCAAUGAACUGGAUGAUUUUUGCAAGGAGGGAAAAGUGAAGGAAGCUGUCGAAGUUUUAGGUUUGUUAGAGCAACAAGGCAUUGUUGUGGAUUUACCAAGGUAUAUACAGUUGUUGCAGGCAUGUGGUGAUGCAAAAGCUCUAGAACAAGCAAAGGUUGUUCAUGAUCACAUCUCGAGAUCUAUGGUUCAAGUUGAAGUCUGGGUUUAUAACAAGAUCUUAGAGAUGUACUCCAAAUGCAGUUCGAUGGACAAUGCUUACUAUCUGUUUGAGAAAAUGCCUGAACGUAACUUUACAUCUUGGGACACCUUGAUAACGGGGUUUGCGAACAAUGGUCUUGGAGAGGAUGCUAUUGACAUGUUCAGCCGGUUCAAGCAGGCAGGGCUGAGGCCUGAUGGGCGUAUGUUUAUUGGGGUCUUUUCUGCAUGUAGUGUUCUGAAUGCAAUUGAUGAGGGAAUGCUGCAUUUUGAAUCGAUGAGCAAGGAUUAUAGUAUUGUCCCUGCCAUGGAGCAUUAUGUGAGUAUUGUGGAUAUGCUUGGGAAAUCGGGGUAUUUGGAUGAAGCCAUGGAGUUCAUCGAAAAGAUGCCUGUUGAUCCGACUGUUGAUGUUUGGGAAACAUUGAUGAACCUUAGCAGGGUCCACGGAAACAUGGAACUUGGCGAUCGCUGUGCUGAGUUUGUAGAAAACUUGGACUCAUCCAGGCUAACAGAACAAUCAAAGGCAGGUCUUUUGCCCAUUAAAGCUUCAGAUCUAGCAAAGGAGAAAGAGAAGAAGAAAUUGUCUGCACAGAACCUUCUAGAGGUCAGAAGUAGAGUGCAUGAGUACAGGGCGGGAGAUACUUCGCACCCUGAAAAAGACAAGAUUUAUGAACAAUUGAAAGGCUUGAGUGGGCAAAUGAGAGAGGCAGGGUAUGUUCCAGAUACAAGAUUUGUCUUGCAUGACAUAGACCAAGAAGCAAAGGAGGAAGCUUUGCUUUAUCACAGUGAGAGGCUUGCUAUUGCUUAUGGCCUCAUCAGCAGCCCAGCUCGUUCACCGAUUCGUAUAAUUAAGAAUCUUCGUAUUUGUGGUGAUUGCCACAGUGCGUUGAAGAUCAUAUCGAAGAUUGUUGGUCGGGAACUCAUUGUACGAGAUGCUAAGCGGUUUCACCAUUUCAAGGAUGGGCUCUGCUCUUGCAGGGAUUACUGGUAGAGAGAGAAGGUGCAAGCCAGUCUUUGGGGAUUGGUGCAACCAUUCCAGGUCUCGGUAAACUUACAGAAGGAAGUGCUACUACUACAGAACAUCAAUGCAAGAAGGGAUCUUUUGUCACCUACUGUAUUCUUGAGUGAAGCUCCACAAACUUUAAACUUGGAGAAAAAAAUCUUACUUCUGAAGGUGCUGAGAUCCAGUCGAUUGAUGUUGUGGCGGUUGAUGUACAGAGUACCAGUCCUGAAGUGCCGACUGUAACAUUUACUUGCAAAGGUUUGUUAACUCCUUCAGUGCCAUUAAGAUGAAGAGAGUAUGUUCCCCCACUUUUCUGUAUAUUGUUCAUACUAAAUUUUAUAGUGAGACCUCAUUUCAUGUGCUUUCUUAUUCACAACACCAUUUCAUAUUUGUGAUCUGACUUCUGUGGGAGGACAGAAAACUACAGGCGAAGUGCACACUCCAAUCUUUUUGAGCCUCCUAAUCAAACUAUAGAGCCUUUGGGGAACAGGAUGAACAGAACUUCUUUCCAAGCUUGGGUAGUGAUCACUCUGGUUCGAUUAUGGUUCCUGCACUCUUCUACCAAUGCAAUGAUUGUGGAAUUGAUGAAGACCAUUGAGCCACCUCACCAAGGAUGACAACCUGCCAAGGGGGAAAGCAUUGUGGUGAGCCAGUGGGAGGCCCUGUAUCUCAAGGUGAAUCAACCAUUCCUUCUGGCGCUGUAUGUGGCCUACCUUUAGUAGUGGUUUGUAAGCACUCUUCUAGAGGUGCUUCCUCUUCAAGUCUUCGUUCUUUGAAGCGGUUUAUAAGCACUCUUCUAGGGGUGCUUCCUCUUCAAGUCUUUGUUCUAGCUGAGUACAAGCAUCACCAUCUAUCCCGCUGGCAGAAAGAAGCUAGAAGAUGGAGCAAGCAUAUCUCACCGCGGUUUCCACCUAUUCAUUGAAAGUCUGGAAAGAAAUGAUUUGGGUGACUUGUGGAUGUGCAGGCACAUUGCUGACUUCCAGCUUAAGGACACGUAAGGUGGGUUUGAAUGUGGAAGCUAGCUGAAGAUG